AUGGCACUCUGGCUAAACCUCCUGUCCUUGUUAGUUGUCCUCAUAGGUGUCCAAUCUGAGGUUCAGAUAGCGGAGUCUGGAGGGGAUGUGAGAAGACCUGAAGAGUCCCUUCGUCUCUCCUGCCAAGCCUCUGGAUUCACCUUCAGAAUCUAUGAGAUGGUCUGGGUGAGACAGGCUCCAGGGAAAGGACUGGAAUGGGUGGCUUUUUUAUGGUCUUCAAAUAUUUACUACUCUGACAAAGUGAAGGGACGCUUCACCAUCUCCAGGGAAGAUGCCAAAAGCCAGGUGUAUCUGCAAAUGAACAGCCUCAAACCAGAGGACACAGCAGUCUAUUACUCUGCAAGAGUUACACAAUGUUCACAGAUCUGUUAUUAUUAUUAUCUUUGUAGCUUGAUCUGCAAUUCGAGGAUUUCCUGCCAGUUUCUCAUUCAAGUUGUAAAGGAAUCCAAUCCUGCUGAGAUGUUGGCCAAUGAGACACAACUAAUGGAAUGGUCAGAUAAAAGGCAGUUCAGCCUGCAGCAGAAUUGA